UAUGCUAUGUCACAAGCAGGUUACAUGCUCUUUGUGUUUUACACCCUCGUGUACCACACCCAUCCCACUCCCGAGGAAAGCCGCCUCCUUCUCCGCCGGCUAUGGCCUCCCCCAUCCCCUCCUCGUCCCCUCAUUAGGAGCCAAGAGAAAGGGAUGGAGAUCCACCACGACCGGACCGAGCAGGUGGUCAAGCGGCGCGCCCAGAUAGCCGUCCUUGUGGAGCUGCGCCCAGAUCGGCCAUGGCGCGACCGAGCAGUUGAGGAGGGAGGGAGAGUAGGAUUGUAGGAGUGCUCCAGCUGCUCCUAUGCCCCAACCACGGAGUCGAUUCCACCUCGGCCACAACAAUAGCACCGGCAGCCAUAUGCUUCUUAUCUCCCUCCCCUCGCCCCUGUUUGUUUAGGUCUGGCAGCUCCCUUCCCUCACUGCCUGAUGUGCGAGGAAGACUGAAUCUUUCCUCCUUGAAGGUCGGUUUCCCGCUACUCCAACCCUAGUGCUUGCCUAUCGGACGCCAUGGAAGUUUCUUGUAUGUACCCAUGAAGGUUGUCAUGGGCUCCACAUGCGUCCUAUUGUUGGCCCUUGAUGCGGCGCCUCGGCCUCCCAUAGAGGACCGAAAGCUUGCGGUAGAAGGAGCAAAAGCAUCUCCGAGCCCUUUGGCCCUUCCUGACGAGUUGCAUCUCAUAGUUCACCAGUGGAAUCCAUGCUUUGUUUUUGUCGCUCUCAGGUUGCAUAUCAUGCCAAUCAUGCCAAAUUGUCUCUGGCCUGCUCACUCGUUGUUUGUUGUCUCAUUUGUCUCUCGCUAUGGAAGAAAUAUAAGAGUGUUUAUAUAGUACCUUUUUCUAGCAUUAUUGAUGAAUUAUAUUCGGUGACUAAUAUGAUGAAUUGUAUUCGGAGACUAAUAUGAUGAAUUGUAUUCGGAGACUAA